rnacentral:rRNA from 1 species
UGGGGAAUAUUGCACAAUGGGCGCAAGCCUGAUGCAGCCAUGCCGCGUGUAUGAAGAAGGCCUUCGGGUUGUAAAGUACUUUCAGCGGGGAGGAAGGCGAUAAGGUUAAUAACCUUGUCGAUUGACGUUACCCGCAGAAGAAGCACCGGCUAACUCCGUGCCAGCAGCCGCGGUAAUACGGAGGGUGCAAGCGUUAAUCGGAAUUACUGGGCGUAAAGCGCACGCAGGCGGUCUGUCAAGUCGGAUGUGAAAUCCCCGGGCUCAACCUGGGAACUGCAUUCGAAACUGGCAGGCUAGAGUCUUGUAGAGGGGGGUAGAAUUCAGGUGUAGCGGUGAAAUGCGUAGAGAUCUGGAGGAAUACCGGUGGCGAAGGCGGCCCCCUGGACAAAGACUGACGCUCAGGUGCGAAAGCGUGGGGAGCAAACA